rnacentral:rRNA from 1 species
CUACGGGUGGCUGCAGUGGGGAAUAUUGGACAAUGGGGGAAACCCUGAUCCAGCAAUGCCGCGUGUGUGAAGAAGGCCUGCGGGUUGUAAAGCACUUUCGGUUGGGAGGACUGCUUCUAGCACUAAUAUUGUUGGAAGUUGACGUUACCUUCAGAAGAAGCACCGGCUAGCUCCGUGCCAGCAGCCGCGGUAAUACGGAGGGGUGCAAGCGUUAAUCGGAAUUACUGGGCGUAAAGCGCGCGUAGGCGGCUAGAUCAGUCGGGUGUGAAAGCCCCGGGCUUAACCUGGGAACUGCAUCCGAUACUGUCUAGCUUGAGUACAGGAGAGGAGAGUGGAAUUCCACAUGUAGCGGUGAAAUGCGUAGAUAUGUGGAGGAACACCAAUGGCGAAGGCAGCUCUCUGGCCUGAUACUGACGCUGAGGUGCGAAAGCGUGGGGAGCAAACAGGAUUAGAUACCCGUGUAGUC